AUGGUGGUAUUUCUGGAUAAAAAAACAAAGAAAACCCUCACGGGGAAAACCAUCACUCUCAAGGUUGAACCCUCAGAUAAUAUAGAAAAUGUGAAGGCCAAGAUCCAGGAUAAGGAAGGAAUUCCUCCUGAUCAGCAAAGACUCAUUUUUCCUGGCAACCAACUGGAAGAUGGAUGUACUUUGUCUGACUACAACAUUCAAAAGGAGUCCUCUCUUCAUGUUGUGUUAAGACUUCAUCGUGGUACUAAGAAAAGGAAGAAGUCUUAUACCACUCCCAAGAAGAAUAAGCAUAAGAGAAAGAAGGUUAAGCUGGCUGUUCUGAAAUAGUAUAAGGUCAAUGAGAAUGGCAAAAUAAAAUACCUUCAUCAAGAGUGUCCUUCAGAUGAGUGUGGUGCUGGAGUUUUUAUGGCCAGCCACUUUGAUAGACAUUAUUGUGGCAAAUGUUGUCUUACUUACUGUUUCAACAAACCAGAAGACAAGUAAUUAUAUACGAAUUAAUAAGAGACAUGAACU